CCUACGGGCGGCAGCAGUGGGGAAUAUUGGACAAUGGGCGAAAGCCUGAUCCAGCCAUGCCGCGUGUGUGAAGAAGGCCUUCGGGUUGUAAAGCACUUUCAGUGGGGAAGAAAGCCUUGGGGCUAAUACCCUCGAGGAAGGACAUCACCCACAGAAGAAGCACCGGCUAACUCCGUGCCAGCAGCCGCGGUAAUACGGAGGGUGCGAGCGUUAAUCGGAAUUACUGGGCAUAAAGCGCGCGUAGGCGGUCUGAUAAGCCGGUUGUGAAAGCCCCGGGCUCAACCUGGGAACGGCAUCCGGAACUGUCAGGCUAGAGUGCAGGAGAGGAAGGUAGAAUUCCCGGUGUAGCGGUGAAAUGCGUAGAGAUCGGGAGGAAUACCAGUGGCGAAGGCGGCCUUCUGGACUGACACUGACGCUGAGGUGCGAAAGCGUGGGUAGCAAACAGGAUUAGAUACCCCUGUAGUC
rnacentral:rRNA from 1 species